rnacentral:rRNA from 1 species
AUUGAACGCUGGCGGCAGGCUUAACACACGCAAGUCGAGCGGGGGAAGGUAGCUUGCUACCGGACCUAGCGGCGGACGGGUGAGUAAUGCUUAGGAAUCUGCCUAUUAGUGGGGGACACCAUUUCGAAAGGGAUGCUAAUACCGCAUACGUCCUACGGGAGAAAGCAGGGGAUCUUCGGACCUUGCGCUAAUAGAUGAGCCUAAGUCGGAUUAGCUAGUUGGUGGGGUAAAGGCCUACCAAGGCGACGAUCUGUAGCGGGUCUGAGAGGAUGAUCCGCCACACUGGGACUGAGACACGGCCCAGACUCCUACGGGAGGCAGCAGUGGGGAAUAUUGGACAAUGGGGGGAACCCUGAUCCAGCCAUGCCGCGUGUGUGAAGAAGGCCUUAUGGUUGUAAAGCACUUUAAGCGAGGAGGAGGCUACUCUUGGUUAAUACCCAAGAUGAGUGGACGUUACUCGCAGAAUAAGCACCGGCUAACUCUGUGCCAGCCGCCGCCGUAA